CUUCAUUUCCCCUCCCUUCUGCUUAGCCCCGUGAGAGAGAGAAAGGGGUCGUCGGUGGUGGGGAGGAGAAGGGAAAGAGGAGAGGGAGGGCUGGCCCGUGCCUCUGAAGGACUGAGGGGAGUAGUGUGUGUGUGUGUGUGUGUGUGUGUGUGUGUGCAAAGGAAGGAAGGAAGGAAGGAAGGAAGGAAGGAAGGAAGGAAGGUGCCUCCAUUAGAGCCUCCACUGCAUUAGAGCCUCCCUUCAGUUCCCAGAUCUCUUCUGAGGGUUUGGGCUGGCGGCAGGAUGAGCAUCUAUCAAAGCUGAAAAUGAACCAAUGGAAGGAAUUCUCCUCACCCGCAUUCUGUAUUUUAGUUACAACUGCCUUCUGGAGUGUUAACAAAACAAUAUAAGCUGUGUUGCAAG
rnacentral:lncRNA from 11 species